rnacentral:rRNA from 1 species
UACGUAGGGAGCAAGCGUUGUCCGGAAUCAUUGGGCGUAAAGAGCUCGUAGGCGGCUUGGUAAGUCGGAUGUGAAACCUCCAGGCUCAACCUGGAGUCGCCAUCCGAUACUGCCAUAGCUAGAGUCCGGUAGGGGCCCACGGAACUCCUGGUGUAGCGGUGAAAUGCGCAGAUAUCAGGAGGAACACCAAUGGCGAAGGCAGCUCGCUGGGACGGUACUGACGCUGAGACGCGAAAGCGUGGGGAGCGAACAGG